AAAGUUUUAGUUUAUAUAAAAACAUUAAUUUUGGAGAUUAAAGAAUUAUUAUACUUUA
rnacentral:tRNA from 1 species